rnacentral:rRNA from 1 species
CUGGUGUUCGGGUUGUCAUGCCAAUGGCACUGCCCGGUAGCUAAAUGCGGAAGAGAUAAGUGCUGAAAGCAUCUAAGCACGAAACUUGCCCCGAGAUGAGUUCUCCCUGACCCUUUAAGGGUCCUGAAGGAACGUUGAAGACGACGACGUUGAUAGGCCGGGUGUGUAAGCGCAGCGAUGCGUUGAGCUAACCGGUACUAAUGAACCGUGAGGCUUAACCUU